GGGCAGCAGUCUCCCAUUAUGAAGCUAACAGCAAAAACUGAACUACGUGUGGUUUUGUGCAAGCCUCUCCUUCCAGCGUCCACCCACACUCUUAACCACCAGGGGACCAGCCCACAGCUGAUGAAAGCCUGCGGAUGGCCUGCCGCCCACCGUUCUGCCCCCUUGGGGCUGUACCAGAAACUCCUGGGUACUGGUCGCCAAUGCAGAUUCUCACACCUACCCAGAUCCUCCAAGUCAGAAUCUGCAGGGAAGGGACCUGGGAAUAUGCAUUCUGAACCAGUGUCCCCAGAGCUCGAGAACUGUGUCUGGAUCUGGCCUCAACCAGCCUUCCAGCCUCACUGAUUGAGGUCCUGCUGUUAAGUCUUUUACAUAUUUUAUUUUUCAUUUCAUUUCAGCAUCACAUCAACUCUAAGAAGCUUUACAGUUUCACAAGACUGAGAGGCGGAUUCUGGUCAUCAAACCCAUUUUCCAGAGGAAACAGAGGCUUCAGGACUACAAAACCCGGCUCUACGCCUCGGAAUCCCAGACGGUUUCUCCCGCCGGACAGCAGUCGCGCUGCCAACGGCGCCCCCUGCCGGCCGCGGCAAGCACGCCAGAGUGUAUCACGGCUAGCCCCGCCCUUCGGCGCCGGAAACACCCGAACGCGCACUCCGGCCUCCGAAGAUUUCCGAGCGCUCCUCCGAAGGAAGGCCCGGGCUCGGAGAGGCGGGGGUUAGCCGCUUUCAGCCCGGACCUGACCCCCCUCCCCCAGGCGGUUUUGGUCUCGCCGUGGUGUCGUAGGGAGUUCCCGGGGACCGCGGGAAAUAGCGACGUCUUUGAUCGCGAUUGCUUCCUCCGUGGUGAGUAUCGCCCCGACGGCGGCGGAGCUCAAGGGGUGUGAGGGCGUCGCGGGGCAUGCCGGGAGCUGGCUUAGAGGCGGGGCUGCUGGAGAAGUGUGUGAGCUUCCUUCGGAGACGGUGCCUGUUCGAGGACACCGGUGCAUCAAGUCCUGCGCCUGUGUCCUGGCGUCUGUUGUGUCCUUGGGCAGCAGCCUUCCCUCCUCAUACCUCAGUUUCUGCACUUGUAAAAAGGGGGCUCCUCCGCGACUGCAAAAAUCGGGGUUUUAGCCAGCAUUUCCGGAAUUCCAGUCCCCUAGCAGGCACCUGGGAAAUCAGGGUGGGGUCAUUCAAGCCUGUAUGGAAACGCAGAGCACUGGUAGCUCCUUCCCUAGCUGAGUUAGCACUCCUGGGACCAGAAGGCCCUGGAGGUUGGGGACCAGCCCCUUCCUAGUGGACAAGGUGCCCUGCAGCCAGGGAUGGUGACAGACAUAAGACAAUGGUAGAGUAAUAAGUAACAGUAGGUAGCUAAGGUUUAUUGAGCACUUACUAAGUCCCUGGCUCUGUGCUAAGUCCAUUACGUGUAUUGUUUCAGACUCACCACAGCUCUGACUGGUAGGUAUUGUUACUGCCAUUCCAGUAGUCCCCAAUCUUACCCACUAUGUGAUACUGAGAAAAGUUUUGAGCUGGGAUCCAGAAUGGCCAAUGGGGAAUAGCAGGGCCUGACAGUAUUAGUCCUACAUUCCAUGAACUGAGCAGUCACUGUGUAGUAGAUAUUGGCCUAAGGGGAUUCCAUGCAUCAUUGUACUCUUAGCAGCGAUCCUGUACCACAGGUUUUGUUAUUUUCUUUGUACAGAUGAGGCUCAGAGAGGUCACUUUAUAUGUCUUAGGACACCUGCUAAUAAAAAAAAAACUGGAAUUUUGGGGUUCAUUGGUGAUACACUCUGCCUGACUUGAUAUGCCACUUUUAGGAAGACCCCACUCUUCUCUGAGCCUUGGUGCAUUCACAUCUGUUGUAUCUCCAGGAUGGGGCAGUGUGACAUGGUAGACGGUUCUCAACUUGGAGUCCGGGGGCUGACUCCUGGGGGCCCAUGCAGGAGCUGCAGGGGGCCAGGAGCCCCCACACUGUGUGCAGGAUUGUGUGGGUGAUUCUCCAAGAGGCAUAGGACUCCAAAAAGUCAAGAGUUCUAGAUAAAGGAGUCAAAAAGCUGGUAUAAGACCAUGUGAUGAUAGUAAAUGACAUCCUGUGAUUCUCAGCAGGUGGUUGAAGCCCCCACCCCCACCCCACUACACACACACACACACACACACACACACACACACACACACACACACCAUCCCUCCUAUCAUCAUUCAUUCAAACAUUUCCUGAGACAUAACUGGGCCCAGCCGUGCACUGGGAAUAUAGCAACGAAGGGGGCAGGGUCCUGGCUCUCCUCAUCAGGAACACCAACAAGAGGACAAUUUUAUAAGUGCUAAUAGAGGGGCAAAUCUGGAGGCCCUGGGAGCCCCAAAUUGGGGUUCCUAAUCCAGUGUGUGGUCAAGGGUAAGUUGGGGAGUCCGCAGUCAGCCUGUGGCCUUGGGCAGAUCACUACCCUUGCUGCGCCUGUUCCCCUCACCCCUUUUCCCAUGGGCCUGAUGGUGCCACUUGUCAGGAUGGGGUGAGGGUGGAGGAGAUGAGGGCCUGUUGGGGUUCAGCCUGAGGAGGUGCUGUGUGUGUGCCAGCUCCCCUGGAACAGGGACUCAAACCCAGGCACCCAGACUUGCAGCAUGGCACGCCAUCCUCUUCCUUGGGCCAGAGGGGUUUCCCAUUUGGAAUGGGCUGGGGGAAGAGCACUGGUGUGUGGGAGUCAGAAUCUGGACCUCACCAGGCAACCCCAGAUACCUUGCUGGGGCCCAGGCUGCUUGUUCUUCUAUGGGCAAAUGCAGUGGGAGUGCUGAGAAAGGUGGGCAAUCAGGGAGUACUUCCCAGAGGAGGUGGCAUGAGCUAAGGCUAGGAGGAUUGAGAUCAGGGUUCAUGAGAACUGGGUGGGGUCCCUGGGCCUGAGGUUUCCCUGGCAGAACCUCUGGGUGGUAUAGAAGAAGUGGGGGAUGGGUCCCAGAGCUCAGGGAAAAGGGAAGAGAAGGGUGGGGAGGGCUGCCCUGUCGCUCCAAGAGUCUCUGCUGGUGGAGUUGGUGAUGAAGGGCAGGGCCUCUGGAGUCAGGCAGGCUUGGGUUUGAAUCCCACCACCGUUGCCUCAUUGAGGGCCCUUGAUCAGGAUUUCACCUCUCCAAGCCUCAGUUAACUUCGAUCUGGGAAAUGGGUGUAUCGACAGCACCUUAUUCAAAAGGAUGUUCAUAUUAUAUGGUUCUAUUUGCAUGAAAUUUCCAGAAUAGGAAAAUCUGUAGAGACAGAAAGUAGAUUAGUGGUUGCCUAAGGGCUGGGGGAAUUGGGCAGAAAUGAGGAGUUGAGUUACUGCACAGGAGUAUGGUGUUUCUUUUGGGGUGAUGAAAAUGUUUUAAAUUGACUGGUGAUGGUUGCAUAACUUUGUGGAUAUCCUAAGUCAUUGGAUUAUACACUUUAAAUGAGUGAUUUGUAUGGUUUGUGAAUUAUAUCUCAAUAAAGCUCCUACAAAAAAAGAAAAAAACCCGAAAGAUGAGAUGCUACAUGCCUAGUACAUGGGAGCCAUCCCUGGUUUUAUUUAUUCCUGGCAACAAGCCCAGUCCUUGGCUGGAGAAGGGUGAUUGGAUCAGGGAGGGGAGGGGCUGGCUGGCCGGGAACCCCAAGCAAGUCACACAGCCUUCCUGAGUCUCAGUUCUCUCUUCUGUGAAAUGGGGAUGAAUGUCCAGGUCUUGGCCCCUCUCGUGAACCUGUGAGGCUCAGA